UACGUAGGGGGCUAGCGUUGUCCGGAUUUAUUGGGCGUAAAGAGCGUGUAGGCGGCCAGGUAGGUCAGCUGUGAAAACUCGAGGCUCAACCUCGAGAUGUCGGCUGAAACCAUCUGGCUAGAGUCCGGAAGAGGAGAAUGGAAUUCCCGGUGUAGCGGUGAAAUGCGCAGAUAUCGGGAAGAACACCCGUGGCGAAGGCGGUUCUCUGGACAGUUCCUGACGCUGAGGCACGAAGGCCAGGGGAGCAAACGGG
rnacentral:rRNA from 1 species